rnacentral:lncRNA from 1 species
UUGGAAUGACAUAAAAUCAAAAUGGUUCAUUGGAAUGUGUGGAGCAUCGAUCUUGGUAAAUGUAGUAGUAAACAUGCAAUUCAGCUUAUACUUAUGUGAUGUAAUUUUGUAUUUAUCACUUCCUCCAACCAAUAUAUUUUCAACCUUAUAUGUUGAUCCUUCUCCAACUAUUUUUUUUUAUCUUUGACACCAAACUCUUUCCCACAGUAGCAAGAAUCUUAUCGCACUGGAUGAUCAAAGUAAAAAAAGGGGAAAAGUCAAUAAUAAAAAAAAAUCAAUAGAGAUUUUGUGAAAAUGUGAGAAGUAUAUCAAGAUAGUUCAUCACCUUUUCAUCAACAAACAACAUAUUCAUAGACGUAACCUCAGUUGGUUUGU